ACGUUGCGAUGAUGCGGGAGGUUGCCGACACACCCGGCCCCUUUGCCAUGGGAGGGCAGUCGGGGUAUUCUCGCGGAGUAUGUCCGAUUACAAAAUUGGGCGA
rfam:Paenibacillus sp. 32O-W, complete genome.